GGACUACAGGGGUUUCUAAUCCUGUUUGCUCCCCACGCUUUCGCGCCUCAGCGUCAGUAUCGGUCCAGAGAGCCGCCUUCGCCACCGGUGUUCUUCCCAAUAUCUACGAAUUUCACCUCUACACUGGGAAUUCCACUCUCCUCUCCCGAACUCAAGCAAUAGAGUAUCAAGCGCUAUUCCCAGGUUGAGCCCGGGGCUUUCACGCCUAACUUCCAUCGCCGCCUACGCGCCCUUUACGCCCAGUAAUUCCGAACAACGCUAGCCCCCUUCGUAUUACCGCGGCUGCUGGCAC
rnacentral:rRNA from 1 species